rnacentral:lncRNA from 1 species
AAAGUGCGAGGUGUAAGUGCCUAUGAGUUGGAUGAUCAUGGUUAUCUCUCUACACUCAAAAGCAAAAAUGAUCAUCGCCGUAUGAGUAGAUGACAUAGUGCAUGUUUGGUAUUCUCUAAAACAUGAAAGUUCUAGUUCUUUGAUAUCAAGAAGUUCCUGAAUGUUUCUUUCAUAAUUUGGAAUUUCUCGAAUUUCAGUUGGGGUUGAGAAAGGGAGAGGUGCAAGUUUGGGUUGUUCUUAGGGUUGGGGUGCCUGUUGUUUGGAUAGACCUGGUAAGAAACCUGGAAUAGCCUGUAUAUUGUUUGGGUUGCCUGGAAGAUGUGUAUUCCUGA